UACCUGCAGCUCAAGUGGUGGCCGCUAUUAUUGGGCCUAAAACGUUCGUAGCCGGCUGAGUAAAUGCUUGGGUAAAUCGUGCCGCUUAACGGUACGAAUUCCGAGUAGACUACUUAGCUUGAGACCGGGAGAAGCUAGAGGUACUCCUGGGGUAGGGGUGAAAUCCUGUAAUCCUGGGGGGACCACCAGUGGCGAAGGCGUCUAGCUAGAACGGGUCUGACGGUGAGGGACGAAACCCUGGGGCGCAAACCGGAUUAGAUACCCGGGUAGUCCAGGGCGCAAACGCUGCUUGCUUGAUGUUAGCUGGGCUCCGAGCUCAGCUAGUGUCGGAGAGAAGUUGUUAAGCAAGCUGCCUGGGAAGUACGAUCGCAAGAUUGAAACUUAAGGAAUUGGCGGGGAGCACAGCAACGGGUGGAGCGUGCGGUUU
rnacentral:rRNA from 1 species